rnacentral:rRNA from 1 species
UACGUAGGGACCGAGCGUUGUCCGGAUUCAUUGGGCGUAAGGAGCUCGUAGGCGGCUGCUCAAGUCGAAUGUGAAACCUCGAGGCUUAACCUCGAGCCUGCAUUCGAUACUGGGCGGCUAGAGUCUGGUAGGGGGAUCUGGAAUUCCUGGUGUAGCGGUGGAAUGCGCAGAUAUCAGGAGGAACACCGGUGGCGAAGGCGGGUCUCUGGGCCGUAACUGACACUCAGGGACGAAAGCUAGGGGAGCGAAUGGG